rnacentral:rRNA from 1 species
UACGUAGGGGGCAAGCGUUGUCCGGAAUUAUUGGGCGUAAAGCGCGCGCAGGCGGUUCUUUAAGUCUGGUGUUUAAACCCGAGGCUCAACUUCGGGACGCACUGGAAACUGGGGAACUUGAGUGCAGAAGAGGAGAGUGGAAAUCCACGUGUAGCGGUGAAAUGCGUAGAUAUGUGGAGGAACACCAGUGGCGAAGGCGACUCUCUGGGCUGUAACUGACGCUGAGGCGCGAAAGCUAGGGUAGCGAACGGG